CAAAAUUCAGGGAAAGGAAAGGGCUUAUUGAGAAAGAUGUGGUGAGAACUGAUAGAUCGAUCCUUUCAAAUAUUCUACGAGAUAUACUGUUGACCUAUUCAUUUUACAACUUUGAUCUUGGUUAUUGCCAGAGCAAAAGAAACAAAAAGUUUCUGAAAUAAAGACUGGAAUUGAUGAAGCUGAAG